rnacentral:snRNA from 1 species
CGCAUAAGAUACUGGUAAAUG